rnacentral:rRNA from 1 species
UGGGGAAUUUUGGACAAUGGGCGAAAGCCUGAUCCAGCAAUGCCGCGUGUGUGAAGAAGGCCUUCGGGUUGUAAAGCACUUUUGUCCGGAAAGAAAUCCUCUGGGUUAAUACCUCGGGGGGAUGACGGUACCGGAAGAAUAAGCACCGGCUAACUACGUGCCAGCAGCCGCGGUAAUACGUAGGGUGCAAGCGUUAAUCGGAAUUACUGGGCGUAAAGCGUGCGCAGGCGGUUUUGUAAGACGGAUGUGAAAUCCCCGGGCUUAACCUGGGAACUGCAUUCGCGACUGCAAGGCUAGAGUAUGGCAGAGGGGGGUAGAAUUCCACGUGUAGCAGUGAAAUGCGUAGAGAUGUGGAGGAAUACCGAUGGCGAAGGCAGCCCCCUGGGCCAAUACUGACGCUCAUGCACGAAAGCGUGGGGAGCAAACAGGAUUAGAUACCCUGGUAGUCCACGCCCUAAACGAUGUCAACUAGUUGUUGGGGAUUCAUUUCCUUAGUAACGUAGCUAACGCGUGAAGUUGACCGCCUGGGGAGUACGGUCGCAAGAUUAAAACUUAAAGGAAUUGACGGGGUCAUAGCUGUUUCCU